UGGGGAAUAUUGCACAAUGGGCGGAAGCCUGAUGCAGCGACGCCGCGUGGGGGAUGAAGGCCUUCGGGUUGUAAACUCCUUUCGACAGGGACGAAGCUUUUGUGACGGUACCUGUAUAAGAAGCACCGGCUAACUACGUGCCAGCAGCCGCGGUAAUACGUAGGGUGCGGGCGUUGUCCGGAAUUACUGGGCGUAAAGAGCUCGUAGGUGGUUUGUCGCGUCGUCUGUGAAAUUCCGGGGCUUAACUCCGGGCGUGCAGGCGAUACGGGCUGACUUGAGUGCUGUAGGGGAGACUGGAAUUCCUGGUGUAGCGGUGAAAUGCGCAGAUAUCAGGAGGAACACCGAUGGCGAAGGCAGGUCUCUGGGCAGUAACUGACGCUGAGGAGCGAAAGCAUGGGUAGCGAACAGGAUUAGAUACCCUGGUAGUCCAUGCCGUAAACGGUGGGCGCUAGGUGUAGGGGGCUUCCACGUCUUCUGUGCCGUAGCUAACGCAUUAAGCGCCCCGCCUGGGGAGUACGGCCGCAAGGCUA
rnacentral:rRNA from 1 species